GGACAGAUGGCCGAGCUGGUUAUGGCGCCAGGUUAAGGUUUCCCUUAGCAACAAUAUCCUGGUCACGAAAGUGGCGUGGGUUCGAGUCCCACUCUGUUCA
rnacentral:tRNA from 1 species